UACGUAGGGUGCGAGCGUUAAUCGGAAUUACUGGGCGUAAAGCGUGCGCAGGCGGUUUUGUAAGCCAGAUGUGAAAUCCCCGGGCUUAACCUGGGAACUGCAUUUGGGACUGCAAGGCUUGAGUGCGGCAGAGGAGACUGGAAUUCCUGGUGUAGCAGUGAAAUGCGUAGAUAUCAGGAGGAACACCAGCGGCGAAGGCGGCGCUCUGGGCUGGAACUGACGCUGAGGAGCGAAAGCGUGGGGAGCGAACAGG
rnacentral:rRNA from 1 species